GCUUACACAUGCAAGUCGAACGAUGAACCACUUCGGUGGGGAUUAGUGGCGAACGGGUGAGUAACACGUGGGCAAUCUGCCCUGCACUCUGGGACAAGCCCUGGAAACGGGGUCUAAUACCGGAUACUGAUCCGCUUGGGCAUCCAAGCGGUUCGAAAGCUCCGGCGGUGCAGGAUGAGCCCGCGGCCUAUCAGCUAGUUGGUGAGGUAAUGGCUCACCAAGGCGACGACGGGUAGCCGGCCUGAGAGGGCGACCGGCCACACUGGGACUGAGACACGGCCCAGACUCCUACGGGAGGCAGCAGUGGGGAAUAUUGCACAAUGGGCGAAAGCCUGAUGCAGCGACGCCGCGUGAGGGAUGACGGCCUUCGGGUUGUAAACCUCUUUCAGCAGGGAAGAAGCGAAAGUGACGGUACCUGCAGAAGAAGCGCCGGCUAACUACGUGCCAGCAGCCGCGGUAAUACGUAGGGCGCAAGCGUUGUCCGGAAUUAUUGGGCGUAAAGAGCUCGUAGGCGGCUUGUCACGUCGGUUGUGAAAGCCCGGGGCUUAACCCCGGGUCUGCAGUCGAUACGGGCAGGCUAGAGUUCGGUAGGGGAGAUCGGAAUUCCUGGUGUAGCGGUGAAAUGCGCAGAUAUCAGGAGGAACACCGGUGGCGAAGGCGGAUCUCUGGGCCGAUACUGACGCUGAGGAGCGAAAGCGUGGGGAGCGAACAGGAUUAGAUACCCUGGUAGUCCACGCCGUAAACGGUGGG
rnacentral:rRNA from 1 species